rnacentral:rRNA from 1 species
CGGGGAGCACCACAACGGGUGGAGCCUGCGGUUUAAUUGGACUCAACGCCGGGCAGCUCACCGGAUAAGACAGCUGGAUGAUAGCCGGGCUGAAGACUCUGCUUGACUAGCUGAGGGGAGGUGCAUGGCCGUCGUCAGUUCGUACUGUGAAGCAUCCUGUUAAGUCAGGCAACGAGCGAGACCCACGCCAACAGUUGCCAGCAUGUCCUCCGGGAUGAUGGGGACACUGUUGGGACCGCCUCUGCUAAAGAGGAGGAAGGAAUGGGCAACGGUAGGUCAGCAUGCCCCGAAUUAUCCGGGCUACACGCGGGCUACAAUGGUCAGGACAAUGGGUAUCGACACCGAGAGGUGGAGGCAAUCUCCUAAACCUGUCCUUAGUUCGGAUUGUGGGCUGCAACUCGCCCACAUGAAGCUGGAAUCCGUAGUAAUCGCGUUUCAAAAUAGCGCGGUGAAUAUGUCCCUGCUCCUU